AUUGAACGCUGGCGGCAGGCCUAACACAUGCAAGUCGAACGAGUGGCGGACGGGUGAGUAAUGUCUGGGAAACUGCCUGAUGGAGGGGGAUAACUACUGGAAACGGUAGCUAAUACCGCAUACCAUCGGAUGUGCCCAGAUGGGUUUAGCUAGUAGGUGGGGUAACGGCUCACCUAGGCGACGAUCCCUAGCUGGUCUGAGAGGAGGACCAGCCAAACUGGAACGAGGACAAGGGCCAGACUCCUACGGGAGGCAGCAGUGGGGAAUUUUGCACAAGGGGCGCAAGCCUGAUGCAGCCAUGCCGGGUGUAUGAAGAAGGCCUUCGGGUUGUAAAGUACUUUCAGCGGGGAGGCGUUACCCGCAGAAGAAGCACCGGCUAACUCCGUGCCAGCCGCCGCGGUAAUAC
rnacentral:rRNA from 1 species